rnacentral:ncRNA from 18 species
CGAAUCUCAAAGGGGUGCCCAUUGUAAAGGGCUGAGAUCAUACCCAAAGAACCUGGGCAGGUAAUGCUGCCAAGGGACAAACGCAAAAUGCGUU